UUGGGGAAGGAAGGAUGAUACAUG
rnacentral:piRNA from 1 species